rnacentral:rRNA from 2 species
UGCAAGUCAAGGGGCCUUCGGGUCACUGGCGCACGGGUGAGUAACGCGUAGAUAAUCUACCCAUAUCUCUGACAUAACUGCUGGAAACGGUAGCUAAUAUCAGAUGAGGCCUACGGGUCAAAGUUUUAAUGGAUAUGGAUGAGUCUGCGUCUGAUUAGCUAGUUGGUAGUGUAAUGGACUACCAAGGCAACGAUCAGUAACUGGUCUGAGAGGACGAUCAGUCACACUGGAACUGAGACACGGUCCAGACUCC